rnacentral:tRNA from 1 species
GGCUGCUUAGCAAAACGGUUAUGCAGUGGAUUGCAAAUCCAUCUACGGCGGUUCGACUCCGCCAGUAGCCUCCA